GACUCUGGGCGAGAGUCGGGGUACACCACAAACUUGUCGCCAGCCAAUCGCAGGCCACAUAUAAACAAACAAUCAUUCGCACACACAUUCACAUUCAAACCCACGCGGCCACGGGGAGAACAUACAAACUCCACACAGGCGAGGUGGGAUUUGAACUGCGAGUGCUAACCAGUCGGCCACCAUGCCUCCAUACAAUGGACACGGGAGUUUUUUUCUGGACUUGAAACAUUUUCAUUGUUGUGGUAACAUCCGCCGUGCCGUUCAGGCCACAGCAAGCCGCUGGAAGAAAAGCGUUUGCUUCGUAGAUGCACACAACUGGGACACUUAAGUAACGAGCUAGCGAGCUAAGGGCUGGAGCUAAAAAGCUCACUUGACCGCGGCGAUAUUGUUAAAAUGUCAGCUGCGUGUGUGUGUGUUCCCCACAUACACGCACACACACACGCACAACCUGUUGGAGUAAUCCUGCUCAUUUGUUCACAUAUCAAAUAAUAUCCUGCCAGAUCCAGGAAUCCAGCGCCAGAGUAUUGACGCUCGUCCGUGGUACACAGCCAUGCCGUCAAGCUCUUCCACCUGCUCCUGCUUCCUGCACCUUACCUGUUCUGACGGACCACCAUCACUCCUCGGAUAUCCUACCCCUGAACUACUACCUAAUAAACCAUUCUCAUCGACUUCCUCCGCUUCCGUCUGCUUUUGGGUCCAGUCCUAUAUCAUACGAUUACCAAUCGUGACAGAAUACUCUGGCCUAAACAUGGACCCAGCAACAAGAAAGCACAUAGACAGACAGGACAAAGCUCUCCGUGAGAUCAUGGACUCUUUAAACACCCUCUCACAACAAGUAUCCCUCCUGUCCACCUCCGGCAACCCUCCCGUGAGUAUUCGUUCCGAGCCCGCAGCCUCCGACCAACCCCUCCUCCUGUACAAAUAGCCUCACAUUCACCCACCCGGACCCUACUCUGAGGACCUAGGUUCAUGUGGUCAUCCAUCCAUCCAUUUUCUACCGCUUAUCCGAGGUCGGGUCGCGGGAGCAGUAGCUUUAGCAGGGACGGCCAGACUUUCCUCUCCCCAGCCACUUCAUCCAGCUCUUCCGGGGGGAUCCCGUGGCGUUCCCAGGCCAGCUGAAAGACAUAGUCUCUCCAGCGUGUCCUGGGUCGUCCCCGGGGUCUCCUCCCAGUGGGACAUGCCCAGAACACCUCACCAGGGAGGCGUCCGGGAGGCAUCCGAAUAAGAUGCCCCAGCCACCUCAUCUGGCUCCUCUCGAUGUGGAGGAGCAGCGACUCUACUCUGAGAUUCUCCCGGAUGACCGAGCUUGGACACUUUGAAUACCUUGUCAUACACUUUGGUUUAACCAACGCCCACGCAGUUUUUCAAACCUUCAUUAACAAUGUCCUCCUUGAUAUCCUCAACCGGUUUGUCUUUGUCUAUAUGGACGAUAUCCUCAUCUUCUCCCCCUCUCCCGAGGAACAUCACCAACAUGUCCACCAAUUCCUCCAACGCCUACUUGAGAACCGCCUUUUUGUGAACCAACCCAGUAGAACCUGAACCCAUCCUUCCUUCCUCCUGCUUUGUUGGGCCAGCCACUUGGGAGAUUGAACAAGUGGUAAAAAAGGCUCAGAGAACCCAACUGGAUCUCAAGACUGGACCACCAGACCGGCUUUUCGUGCCCAAUUCUGCACUUUCUGAAGUUCUUCAGUUGGCCCACAAUUUCCAAAAAACUUCACAUCCGCCCCCAGCUGGUCUGCUACGCCCCUUACACAUCCCGAGCCACCCUUGGUCCCACAUCAACUUGGACUUCGUCACCGGCCUACCCCCCUCUGAAGGUAACAUCAUCCGCAGCAGGAUGCAAGGAAUGGAGAGAAGAGGAGGAAGCAGGCCAGAGGAGUGACACACCCCCACCAGCAGUCAGAGCGCGGGACCCAGGCGCGUGCCAGCUGGCACCGCUCCACCACCCAAGGAACAUGUGCGAGUCACCAUCACACCACCAAUACUCCCCGGGAGGUCACCCCAGUGGUUCCCCCCCGCCCCCGAGAUCGGGAAGGAGUGAAGAAACUCCCGCCCCCACAGACCUCGGAAUCGCAAACACAGGGACAACAGAAGAAGAUCCCCAGUCACCAUGCAAACCGAUCUAAAAUGUGUGUGAAAAUUAAAAUUAAAAUAAAUAAAUAGAAUAAUAAUAAAAAUACAACAAAUAAUAUAUAAUUCAA